rnacentral:rRNA from 1 species
AACGCGAAGAACCUUACCUGCCCUUGACAUCCUCGGAACCCUGCAGAGAUGCGGGGGUGCCUUCGGGAACCGAGUGACAGGUGCUGCAUGGCUAUCGUCAGCUCGUGUCGUGAGAUGUUGGGUUAAGUCCCGCAACGAGCGCAACCCUUGCCCCUAGUUGCCAGCGGUUCGGCCGGGAACUCUAGGGAGACUGCCGGUGACAAACCGGAGGAAGGUGGGGAUGACGUCAAGUCAUCAUGGCCCUUAUGGGCAGGGCUACACACGUGCUACAAUGGCGAAUACAAAGGGCUGCGAGCUCGCGAGAGUCAGCCAAUCCCGGAAAAUUCGUCGUAGUCCGGAUCGGAGUCUGCAACUCGACUCCGUGAAGUCGGAAUCGCUAGUAAUCGCGAAUCAGAACGUCGCGGUGAAUACGUUCCCGGGUCUUUACACACCG